GAUGAACGCUGACAGAAUGCUUAACACAUGCAAGUCGAUUGGGAAGUGGUGCUUGCACCAUGGUAACCAUGGCGGACGGGUGAGUAACGCGUAAGGAACUUGCCUGCGGGACUGGGAUAACAGCAGGAAACUGCUGAUAAUACCGGAUAAGGUCAUUAAGCUGCAUAGCUUAGUGAUGAAAGGAGACGCCUGCGGAGAGCCUUGCGUCCUAUUAGCUAGUUGGAGGGGUAACGGCCCACCAAGGCGAAGAUAGGUAGCCGGCCUGAGAGGGUGGACGGCCACAAGGGGACUGAGAUACGGCCCUGACUCCUACGGGAGGCAGCAGUGGGGAAUAUUGGACAAGGGGGGCAACCCUGAUCCAGCAAUUCUGUGUGCACGAAGACGGUUUUCGGAUUGUAAAGUGCUUUCAGCAGGGAAGAAGGAAGUGACGGUACCUGCAGAAGAAGCGACGGCUAAAUACGUG
rnacentral:rRNA from 1 species